GGUUGUGUGGCCGAGCGGUCUAAGGCGCCUGAUUCAAGUGCACUCAGGUAUCGUAAGAUGCAAGAGUUCGAAUCUCUUCGCAACCA